rnacentral:rRNA from 1 species
AAUACAUGAUUCCUUANUACGGCGAGUGAAGNGGGAAAAGCUCAAAUUUUAAAUCUGCCAGGUUGUACCUGUCAGAGUUGUAUUUUGAAGAAGUGUUUUCUNGUGUCUCGGUUUGGUCCAAGUCCUUUGGGAUAAGGUAUCAUGGAGGGUGAGAAUCCCGUCCGGCCAACUUUUUGACGCUUUACGAUACACUUUCAAAGAGUCGAGUUGUUUGGGAUUGCAGCUCAAAAUGGGAGGUAAAUUUCUCCUAAGGCUAAAUAUUGGCGAGAGACCGAUAGCGAACAAGUACCGUGAGGGAAAGAUGAAAAGAACUUUGAAAAGAGAGUAAAAUAGUACGUGAAAUUGUUGAAAGGGAAACGAUUGAAGUCAGUCGUACCGGCGAUAAAUCAGCUCCUCGAGUGCGGACUUGUGAGCGUGCGUGAGCUUUAAAACCUCGCUGUUUGCAAUGUUUGUACUUUUUGGGUGUACUUUUUCGUAUGGUAGGCCAACGUCAGUUUCGAUUACCAUAAAAUGACCGGAGGAAUGUAGCUUCGAUCUCGUAUUGAAGUGUUAUAGCCACUGGUAGAUGUGGUGACUGAAACUGAGGAUUGCAACGAAUACCCUUUGGGCUAUCCGUCUGAUCUCUGAAAGUUGCUUAGGUGCCGAAAGCGUGCUUACGGUUAUUUAAGUUGACGGUCAAUAGGUUAGAACGUGAUUACAUUCGUUAAGGAUGUUGACGUA